rnacentral:tRNA from 2 species
CCCUGGUUAGCUCAAUUGGUGGAGCGCUUCACCUGUAAUGGACAGGUCCUGGGAUCGAUACCUGGACCAGGCG